CUCGACAAAGUGAAGGGUUUGGU
rnacentral:siRNA from 1 species